UACGUAGGGACCAAGCGUUGUUCGGAUUUACUGGGCGUAAAGGGCGCGUAGGCGGCGUGGUAAGUCACUUGUGAAAUCUCUGAGCUUAACUCAGAACGGCCAAGUGAUACUGCUGUGCUAGAGUGCAGAAGGGGGCAAUCGGAAUUCUUGGUGUAGCGGUGAAAUGCGUAGAUAUCAAGAGGAACACCUGAGGUGAAGACGGGUUGCUGGGCUGACACGUGACGCUGGAGGCGCGAAAGCCAGGGGAGCAAACGGG
rnacentral:rRNA from 1 species